rnacentral:rRNA from 1 species
UAAAGGUAUUCCGGUAGACGAUGGGGAUGCGUUCCAUUAGAUAGUAGGCGGGGUAACGGCCCACCUAGUCUUCGAUGGAUAGGGGUUCUGAGAGGAAGGUCCCCCACAUUGGAACUGAGACACGGUCCAAACUCCUACGGGAGGCAGCAGUGAGGAAUAUUGGUCAAUGGGCGAGAGCCUGAACCAGCCAAGUAGCGUGAAGGAUGACUGCCCUAUGGGUUGUAAACUUCUUUUAUAAAGGAAUAAAGUCGGGUAUGGAUACCCGUUUGCAUGUACUUUAUGAAUAAGGAUCGGCUAACUCCGUGCCAGCAGCCGCGGUAAUACGGAGGAUCCGAGCGUUAUCCGGAUUUAUUGGGUUUAAAGGGAGCGUAGAUGGAUGUUUAAGUCAGUUGUGAAAGUUUGCGGCUCAACCGUAAAAUUGCAGUUGAUACUGGAUAUCUUGAGUGCAGUUGAGGCAGGCGGAAUUCGUGGUGUAGCGGUGAAAUGCUUAGAUAUCACGAAGAACUCCGAUUGCGAAGGCAGCCUGCUAAGCUGCAACUGACAUUGAGGCUCGAAAGUGUGGGUAUCAAACAGGAUUAGAUACCCUGGUAGUCCACACGGU